rnacentral:tRNA from 1 species
GCCCGGGUGGCGGAAUCGGCAGACGCGGGGGAUUCAAAAUCCCUUUCCCUCCGGGGAGUGCGGGUUCAAGUCCCGCCCCGGGCACUA